AAAGAGUUGUAGUCUUGUUUUUCCCAAACAUAAUUAAAAGUGACCGUUUGAAGUAUUUUUCCACAAGGCUCUGUCAUUCUCAGCCAGCAAUUGUCAAGCCUAUUAGGAAGGGGAACCUAGAAGGCCAAAGAAUUCUCUGCCUUUUUUUUCCUGCUUGCUGCCUGUGAUGUUUGAUCGAAGGCAGCAAUAGAGCUCUGUAUCCCAGAGCCACAUUAUGGAGCCUGACCAAUGUGUUUGGAUUCUUGCAGCCACCCCAGGCACUUCAGCAUCCAGUGCUCCACCUGGCACUGCUGGUGCAGCAAUAACAGCCUCCAGCUCAGCCCGUAACACACCUGAGGAAGAGCAGUCACCAGCAGUGGAUCUUGCCUUUGCUGUGGAGCAAAUGAUCCGGGAGAUCAGGAGAUCCCUAUCUGAAAGGUCUCCCUCUGCCCAGGGCAAUAUUAAUGCUGUGCCUGAGUCUUCAGGAGGUGAGCCUGUGGACAGAGCUGCAGCAGAGGAAGCUUCAUCUGGCACGGAGAGCUGCAGGAACAGUUCCCCAGAGCCCGAGGAGCCUGAUCACAUGUGACCGACCUCUCCAGGAGGGCUGGCCUGUGUGGCAGGAAGAGACAGAGGGAGAGCCUGGAACAUCGGGCAAGUUGAAUUCCUCUGUCUCUAGUUAUAUUUAUAGAUGUAUAUAGUUAUGUUUAUUUAUCUAGGUAGUUGUAUUUAUAGAUUUAUGUGAUUAUAUUUAUCUAUAUAGAUAGAGAUCUGUACAGUUAAUUUAUUUUUGGUUUUACUGGUAUAGCGUUAUAGCUUUAGAUAUGUUGUUGUAGUUAUAGAUGUGCACAGGUGCACUUAUACCUGUGUAUAGUUACAUUUACAUAUAUACAUUUGUAAAUGCCUAUUUAUAUUUGUAUAUGGGGGUUUAGCUACAUAGAUUGAUAUUUAUAUACACCUUUUUUUAACCUCUUGCCCUGUUCUGCUUCCUCGCUCACCUCUUGCUUUCCCCCUGUGCCCACUGUGUCCCCUC